AUCAUUUUUGCCGUGUGUUUGUCCCACCAGAAAGAAAAUAACUAGUUACUUUUAAUUACUUUGCAUUAAAAAAUAACAAUUUCACAUUAUUUUUUAUAGAUUUUCAAACUCUGCAUUCAUGCAUGAUUAUUAUUGUCCACAAACCCUUGCACAACAGAAGAGAAAGAGUUUGUGACCGGACUGAGGCAGAAACUAACAAAGUAAACGAGUUUUCAGUAAUAAAUUGAGAUGCAUGCUAAUGUUUACAUGCAAACACAAAAAAAACUAGUGUGCUUUUUAUGGAAAGAAUGAAUCGGUGAUUCAUCAGAGCAACUCAUUUCUGGUCUGUGUUCUUCUGUCUGGGUGGAACGGCACUUGCGUGUUUCGUAAUGCAUCAGUUCGGUCGUAACUUGCACAUGUUUGAUGGGUGUUUUAUGCGUUUUCCCUCAGGAUUAUCACAGUUGCGUAACUCUAGUGGGUGAAACGAAGAACAUUUCUUCAGAAAAGCAAAUGCAAUCUAGUGUGUGUUGAAUCAGUGAUGUAUUUCUAGGGAAAAGAGAGGAAAGACUCUGUGCGCGUCUCCAAACACAAUGCAGACGCUCAGAAAAGAUCGUCCAAAGCGAGGAGCCUCACGCUGGAGGACGAGGACUGGAUCUGGACGGCCAAUAAGAAGACGCCGCUGAUCACUGGAUCCAAUCUGACGCGCUCUGGAAGCGUUAAAGAUCUCAUAUACAGGUUCGACGGGCCGCCAACGCCGCCGCCGCGCCUCGGCUCGCUGAAGAUCAAACGGCAAGACGUGAGCGCAUGGGAUUCUGGGAAAAUGAGACAUGAAAGCAGAGAGAGAGGGAAGAACCAGAACCCGGUCUCCGGUGAACCGUCAGAACCGGAAACACAAGAAAGCUCCGAGCAGAAACGCCAUGGCACAGAGAAGAAGAGGAGCAGCGAUGACAAACAAACGUCCCGGCGCAGCAAAGACAAAGCGGCUGUCUCUGAUCCCGGUCCGAAUUCCAGCCUAUACGGCAAGAAGCAGCACAGCGGCCCUCAGUCCGAGGAUGAGCCCACCACCCCCAAAAUCCGCCCCAACCCCAAGUACCAGCUCUACCUGGGCUCCAACGGCACCAGCGGCUCCAAUGGGUCAGUGGGGGACGGCGGCGGGAGCCACGGGAAUCUGCUGAGGGUCAGUUCAGUGAUCCGCGGCUCCAUGGAGUCGCUCUCAUCCCGGGACUGGGACAGCAUGUCCGACAGAAUGUGCGGCUUUGAAAGUCCUCCCCGAGUUUUCAACAGUCCGUAUUCGACGCUCUCGCUGGACUACAAUCCCAUCAACAGAAUGUCUGACUUCAAGACACAGGAAGUGAUGUCACCCGCCGGCUCUGAGAUGAGCCUGUUUGGUCUGAACAGAAGCGUGAGUCCUGUUAGCAGUCCAGCUAUGAACCACCGCACACGAGUCCCCGGAUACGACAGUCUGACCCGCAGACGAGACGCGACUCCAAGUCAACUCAUGCAACGAAACAACCAGCCGAACAAACUGGAUUUCAUCCAGGAACUGACCAAACAGCUGGAGGACUGUCGCAGGAGGAACCAGUUUCUGGAAGCGGAGAGCAUCGAGAUGGAGAAGGAGAGGAACCAGAUCCGCUUCGAGAUGCGAGGUCUGCUGGUGAACAAUGAAGAUCUGCUGCGGACGAACACGCAGAUGCAGGGCGAGACGAACCGGCUGCGCGAGAGCAUCGUGGAGUUAGAGAGCAACAACAACGUCAUGCAGGAGCGCUUCAAAAAGAUGGAGAAAGAGCUGAAGGAGGCGCGGGAGGUGAUGGUCGAAGCAAACACUCAGGAAUACGCCUUUAACUUCCUGCAGCAGACGCUCAAGAACAAAAUACAGGACACUGAGGAAGCUCUGGAGAAACAAGCUCAACACGCUCAGACUGUGUCAGAAAAACUGUGGCUCGCCGAGAGAAACCUGGAGGAGCUGGAGCUGGAGAAGGAAACCAAAGCCAAGAAAGCUCUGGAAUUCGGCAACACUGUUUUCAGACUGGAGACAGAGCUGGCAGACGCGCUGCAGGAGGGGAACCAGGCGCGAGUGGAGCUGAGUUUGCAGCAGAAGCUGAGGGCCGAUGUUCAGCUGCGGAUGGAGGAGCUGGAGGAGAGCGUGCUGGAGAAAGACCAGGAGCUGCUGCGCCUCACACAGAUCGUCAGCAGACUGCAGGGAGAGGUCCGAUUAAUACACAUUCAUAUCGCUUUCUCAAAGAAAUCAAUACUGUUAUUCAGCAAGG
rnacentral:lncRNA from 1 species